AUGCUUGUUUUGGCAGCACACAUACUAAAAUUGGAAUAACACAGAAAAGGUUAGCGUGGCCUCUGUACAAGGAUAACACACAGGUCUGAGAAGUGUCCCAUAUUUUU
ensembl:snRNA U6 U6 spliceosomal RNA